UCGGGACUCACAGUCAGGAAGCAGAGAGAU
rnacentral:piRNA from 1 species